rnacentral:tRNA from 1 species
GGAGUCAUCGCUGAAUGGCUAAAGCGCCCGCGAAGGGUUAAACCCUCUACAGGUCCGAGUCCUGUUGACUCCGCCA